CUGCCCGCAGGUUGGCCCAGAAAAGGGGCUGCUUGCUCCUCUCCUUGGGCCACUCCAGGUAGGUUCGCUUGGCCAUCAGAGCCUUCAGCUUGUGGUACCUGGCGGGGAUCACGUACGGAGGGAUGGGCUCCAGCAAAAUGAGGAUUAAGCUGUUGGAAGUCUCGCUGAAGAGCUUGUGGUGGGCAAAGUACAGCUCGUAGUGACACCACUCGCUCUGCACAAAGUUGGGAGACAGCACAAAGAUGGACCUGUAGCUCUUCUCGAUGCAGGUGAUGAUGUUCUCCACGAUGCUCUUGCCGGGGAUGAAGUUCCUCUCGUGCUGGCACAGCUGGACGCGGCCCUCCCCCCUCUCCAGGUUGGGCAUCAGCUCCUCCUUCACCCACGCCGCGUCCCGCUCGCUGUAGGACACGAAGGCGUGGAACUGCAGAGCCCCCUCCUGCUCCUGGGGCUGCUGGUGCCGAGCUCUCCGCUUCGUCUGCGUCCACUGCCACGUCAUCCGCGCGUACCACGGCACGUCCAGGUAGACGCACAGAAAGGCCACCACGGCCACCAGCGCCAGCGUCACCACCAGAGCCGUCACCAGCAGGAGCGUGGUGUUGCAGGCCAGCUCGGCCAGGUGGAAGUCCUCCAGGAGCCUUCCUCGCAGCUCCUCCGGGUACUCGCACACGUAGGCCCCCGGCCAGCCAAACAGCUUCCCCCCAGAGCGCCUCUCCAGCCGCACAAAGGCCUGCAGCUCACAGGAGCACUUGAAGGGGUUGUGCCCGCCCUGCAGCUCCCUCACCCGCGGGCAGCUCUGGAAGAAGUCCACCAACGGGGUGAGGAUCACGUUCAUCUCCACGUUCAGGAAGGCCAGCGACGGGAAGCCCCCGCAGCCCGGCAGGUCAGCCAGGCGGUUGGACGCCAGGUUCAGCUCUCUCAAGGACUUCAGCUCCGCCAUCCCCCUGGGGACACUGCUGAUCUGGUUGUUCUGCAGCUCCAGCUUCUGCACGUUGACUGGCAAGCACUCAAACACGGCAUCCGUCAGCUGGUUGGAGGACAGGUCCAGCUCCGAGAGGGACUCGGCCCAGCGGCACCGCUCAGCAGGCCCCUCGUA
rnacentral:lncRNA from 1 species